rnacentral:rRNA from 1 species
GACGAACGCUGGCGGCGUGCUUAACACAUGCAAGUCGAACGGAAAGGCCCUGCUUUUGUGGGGUGCUCGAGUGGCGAACGGGUGAGUAACACGUGAGUAACCUGCCCUUGACUCUGGGAUAACUUCAGGAAACUGGGGCUAAUACCGGAUAGGAGCUCCUGCUGCAUGGUUGGGGUUGGAAAGUUUCGGCGGUUGGAGAUGGACUCGCGGCUUAUCAGCUUGUUGGUGGGGUAGUGGCUUACCAAGGCUUUGACGGGUAGCCGGCCUGAGAGGGUGACCGGCCACAUUGGGACUGAGAUGCGGCCCAGACUCCUACGGGAGGCAGCAGUGGGGAAUAUUGCACAAUGGGCGGAAGCCAGAUGCAGCAACGCCGCGUGCGGGAUGACGGCCUUCGGGUUGUAAACCGCUUUCGCCUGUGACGAAGCGUGAGUGACGGUAAUGGGUAAAGAAGCACCGGCUAACUACGUG